rnacentral:tRNA from 1 species
GCAGGUAUAGCUCAGGGGUAGAGCACACACUUAACAUGCAUGAGGUCAUAGGUUCAAUACCCAGUACCUCUA